AGAAAGAAGAAUUAUUUAUUAAAAGAUAGUAAUUCAUAGAGGGCUCUUGAUGAUUUACCGUAGAAAAUGUAAACAUAUUAUUCAUGAUACGUGACGGAUUGAAUUAUUUAUCCUGAAUGAUCUGCUAAUUCCUAAAUGAAGACAGAUAUGCAAGAUGUCUGGCUCAAAUAUUCCUUUUGAUGGUGAAUUAAAUGGCUUGAUAAAAGAAUAUCUUGAAUUUUUUGGACUGGAAAAUGCUUGCAACUCUUUUGUAGAGGACUGUAAAAAGUUAUGUAUUCCUGUUAAUGAGUGUAGUGCCAAAUCUAAAAAGAGAGAGAGCAUGCUGAAACUUAAAGAUCAGUUACUUUCUUACUUUGAUGAAGGAGACCGAAUUAAAUUUUUUUCUGUUUGGACUUCACAUAUAAAUUCAAAAUCAAUUUCUAAUAAUAAAACAAUGGAAGAAUUAGAAUUUCAAUUACAGAUCCAUUUUGCAAUUUUUCCUUUCCGAAGAAAAAAUCAAUUGAAAAAUGCAGAUUGUGAAACUGCUAUGUGCUAUUUUCGUUCAUAUCUAGAAACAAAAGGUACUGCUCUAAGUCAAAAUGAUGAUGUAUUACCAUAUUAUGCCUUACCUUUCAUUCCCAAUCCACAAAUUCAUCCAUCAUUCAGAAAACUUUUUGAGGAAAAUUGGGUAGCUAAAUUGAGAGAUCAAUUAGAACAUUAUCUCUUUGGUUUAAUAGAAAAUACAGAUGAAGUACAGAAGCAGCCUUGCUUAAUGAAGCUAUAUGUAUCCUAAAUUAAUAAAAUAUAUAAACUAAUAUGCAGGAAGAAUUGAACACUGCAGAAAUUAAAUGGAAGGAAUCAGAAAGGAAAAACAGCAUUCAAUCAAAACAACUUGUAAAAUUACAGGAAGAUUGUCGUGUAUUGAUGACAGUGUUAAAUAAUUUUAUUGCUGCU
rnacentral:misc_RNA from 1 species